GUCGGGAAUUUUGGGCAAUGGGCGAAAGCCUGACCCAGCAACGCCGCGUGAAGGAUGAAGUAUUUCGGUAUGUAAACUUCGUAAGAAUAGGAAGAAUAAAUGACGGUACUAUUUGUAAGGUCCGGCUAACUACGUGCCAGCAGCCGCGGUAAUACGUAGGGACCAAGCGUUGUUCGGAUUUACUGGGCGUAAAGGGCGCGUAGGCGGCGUGGUAAGUCAGCUGUGAAAUCUCCGAGCUUAACUCGGAACGGUCAGCUGAUACUGCUGUGCUAGAGUACAGAAAGGGCAAUCGGAAUUCUUGGUGUAGCGGUGAAAUGCGUAGAUAUCAAGAGGAACACCUGAGGCGAAGGCGGGUUGUUAGGCUGAUACUGACGCUGAGGCGCGAAAGCUAGGGUAGCAAACGGGAUUAGAUACCCGGGUAGUCC
rnacentral:rRNA from 1 species